CGAAGGGGGCUAGCGUUGUUCGGAAUUACUGGGCGUAAAGGGCGCGUAGGCGGCCGUUUAAGUUAGGUGUGAAAGUCCUGGGCUCAACCUGGGGACUGCACUUAAUACUGGAUGGCUUGAAUUCGGGAGAGGAUAGCGGAAUUCCCAGUGUAGAGGUGAAAUUCGUAGAUAUUGGGAAGAACACCGGUGGCGAAGGCGGCUAUCUGGACCGACAUUGACGCUGAGGCGCGAAAGCGUGGGGAGCAAACAGGAUUAGAUACCCUGGUAGUCCACGCCGUAAACGAUGAGUGCUAGACGUUGGGAAGCUUAGCUUUUCAGUGUCGCAGCUAACGCAUUAAGCACUCCGCCUGGGGAGUACGGUCGCAAGAUUA
rnacentral:rRNA from 1 species